UGACAUUCUGUGAAUUUACAUAACCUUAUUUUGUAUAUCAACGUCAACAAAUAUUUUUAAAUUUUACAAUAAUCACAAGCAUUUUAAUUGACAACAAAGUUUUAUUAAAAUGAGUGAUAUGAAUGAUGAUGGUCGAUUUUCGGUUAGCGGUUGGGAAGAUGAUUUAAAUGAUAUUGAUACUGACAGAAAUCCCACCGAGGAACGACAAAAACAAAUUUUAGAGGCCGCAGAAAAAGGCGAUUUAGAGACAAUUAAAGCUCUUCUGAAUGAAGAUAAAACACUGAUAUCGACUGUAGAUAAAGAUAAGUAUACCCCACUUCAUAGGGCAUGCUAUAGUAACCAUUUAGAAGUUGUUAAGUAUUUGGUUGAACAAGGGGCUGAUAUAUCUGCAAAAACUGAUAUGCUGUGGGAGCCAUUACAUUCAUGUUGUCAGUGGAAUAAUGUGAAAUGUGCAGCUUAUUUAAUUCAGUGUGGAGCCAAUGUUAAUGCUACAUCUGAAGGAGGUCAAACACCUUUACAUAUAGCAGCUGCCCAUGGAGCAUGUUACGAUACUGUGCAACUACUUUUAAUGCACCCAUAUAUAAAUACAAAACUUAAAAAUAAUUCUGGUGAAACUGCAGCAGAAAUCGCUCGCAGAAGUUCGAAGUAUUACAAUAUUUUUGAAUCAGUUGAGCCCUUACUAGAUUAUACAAAUAUUGAGUUACUUAAAAAAGGGGACAACCCAGACAACUAACCUAUUUUAAAGACCAUCAGAAAUCUCUCAUUAAAAAUCACUCAAGUAUUGUAGAGUUACAUUAAGACAAGCAAGUCUUUACAUCAGUUAAAAAUAUAAUGGCGUCAGCGAUGUCGUUUUUUGUUUAAAUCAUAUGGUAUAUCUACUAUUAUAGUUACAUACAAUUAAAAAUUGAAUAAAAACCUAUCUACGAUAAAACACA